rnacentral:lncRNA from 1 species
AACAAUGUGCUCAUUGUAGUUACACUGCUUUUUGUGGAUUUGGAUUUAUUAGUGUUGACAUAAAUAUUGUCUUCAUGAGAUUUAGCAAUUUAUAUUUAGGUGAAUGACUUGAAAGGGAAUAUUUGUGUUAUGAAGUUAAUUUUUCAUGUGAGCCAUGUACAGUCGAUGCCAGUAAAUUUUUAUGAUUCUCUUUAUCUCCCAUAUCAGACCACCCCCGUUUGAAAUUUUUUAAUUAU